AACGAACGCUGGCGGCAGGCUUAACACAUGCAAGUCGAGCGUCCCGCAAGGGGAGCGGCAGACGGGUGAGUAACGCGUGGGAAUCUACCUUUUGCUACGGAAUAACUCAGGGAAACUUGUGCUAAUACCGUAUGUGCCCUUCGGGGGAAAGAUUUAUCGGCAAAGGAUGAGCCCGCGUUGGAUUAGCUAGUUGGUGAGGUAAAGGCUCACCAAGGCGACGAUCCAUAGCUGGUCUGAGAGGAUGAUCAGCCACACUGGGACUGAGACACGGCCCAGACUCCUACGGGAGGCAGCAGUGGGGAAUAUUGGACAAUGGGCGCAAGCCUGAUCCAGCCAUGCCGCGUGAGUGAUGAAGGCCCUAGGGUUGUAAAGCUCUUUCAAC
rnacentral:rRNA from 1 species